GACAAUCUUUAUGUUCGUAUGAGUAUAGCGAAGAACAUAAAUAUUAUAUAUGGUCAUCAAUGUCAAAGUGACCUCUCUAUUAAAUAUUUUUGUUGGUAUGUUCGAGUGAAAAUCCGUGUGCAAAUAUCAACAAACAUUUAUAAUACAGAGGUCACUUAUACAACAUUUUGACCUUAUUUCGGACGAUAACCAUAUUUGGUAAUUUGGCAAAGAAAGUGAUGUAUGCAUACUAUCAAAUAAAUGAAUGAAUAUAUAAGUAAAGUUUGAAUUUUGAAAUUAUAGGCAAG
rnacentral:lncRNA from 1 species